GCCAGCAUGGUAUAGUGGUUUGAAUGUCAGACUAGCACUAUGGAGACCAGGGUUGUAAUCCCCGCUCAGCCA